ACUUCAUCUACAUUCAAGAAAACUCUAGAAAGAAGAAGAGAAGAGAAGAAACUAGAGAGGGAGAAGACCAAGGUUUUGGGAGAAAAAAAAAGCAAAAAUCGGACAGCAAGUUGCCAUGACGAUUCAGCGCGCUAAAAAAAGUUCUGAGGCGCGAUUUCGGCAAGUUCUAGCCAAUUUCGGGAAAGGUUCAAAGGACGACGAGGCGAACGGGAUAAAGAGUAACCCGUAAGAGGUACAGGCGCGCACUUUGGGGAUCCGCUAGCUUAGGAUUCCACCCAGCAAAUUUGGAAGAAGCUCCAUUGAAUCGGAGCCGAUCUUGGGUACUAAACCUUUUAUGUAUAUAUUUACUUGAUUACGGGUACGGUGGGGGCCCUGUCCCGACUUAUGUUACUUUUCUUACUCUUAGAGGUCUGUAGACAUAUAUGUGGGUUGUAUAUGUAUGUGUGAACAGUUGUGCCUAUAUGUUACGAUAGCCUCAUCGACUUAUAUAUUAUCUUGCCUGUUGGCACACUAUGACUCAAAUAGGAGACAGGUUUACUUAUAACUAGCAGGGGUAUAUGCGAGUGUCCAGUUCGGGCACCCGUCACGGCCCACGGGGUUGGGUUGUGACAUAAUGCUUCAUUAAUUGUUAAAUUUGUUCCCCCAACAAGUAUAACUUUA